rnacentral:rRNA from 1 species
GAUGAACGCUGGCGGCGUGCCUAAUACAUGCAAGUCGAGCGAACAGACGAGGAGCUUGCUCCUCUGACGUUAGCGGCGGACGGGUGAGUAACACGUGGAUAACCUACCUAUAAGACUGGGAUAACUUCGGGAAACCGGAGCUAAUACCGGAUAAUAUAUUGAACCGCAUGGUUCAAUAGUGAAAGACGGUUUUGCUGUCACUUAUAGAUGGAUCCGCGCCGCAUUAGCUAGUUGGUAAGGUAACGGCUUACCAAGGCAACGAUGCGUAGCCGACCUGAGAGGGUGAUCGGCGACACUGGAACUGAGACACGGUCCAGACUCCUACGGGAGGCAGCAGUAGGGAAUCUUCCGCAAUGGGCGGAAGCCUGACGGAGCAGCGCCACGUGAGUGAUGAAGGUCUUCGGAUCGUAAAACUCUGUUAUUAGGGAAGAACAAAUGUGUAAGUAACUAUGCACGUCUUGACGGUACCUAAUCAGAAAGCCCCGGCUAACUACGUG